rnacentral:rRNA from 1 species
UGAGCAAUCUGCCCUUCACAUCGGAAUAAGCGUUGGAAACGACGUCUAAUGCCGAAUACGACCUCCUUUCGCAUGAUCGGAGGUGGAAAGCUCCGGCGGAGAAGGAUGAGCUCGCGGCCUAUCAGCUAGUUGGUGUGGGUAAUGGCCCACCAAGGCGACGACGGGUAGCCGGCCUGGAGAGGGCGACCGGCCACACUGGGACUGAGAUACCGGCCCAGACCUCCGUACGGGAGCAG